rnacentral:rRNA from 1 species
UACGGAGGGUGCAAGCGUUAUCCGGAUUCACUGGGUUUAAAGGGUGCGUAGGUGGGCAGGUAAGUCAGUGGUGAAAUCUCUGAGCUUAACUCAGAAACUGCCGUUGAUACUAUCUGUCUUGAAUAUCGCGGAGGUGAGCGGAAUAUGUCAUGUAGCGGUGAAAUGCUUAGAUAUGACAUAGAACACCAAUUGCGAAGGCAGCUUGCUACACAAUCAUUGACACUGAGGCACGAAAGCGUGGGGAUCAAACAGG